UUCACGGGCCUUGGACUUGCAGCGAUUGCUCAGCGUAGAAUGCUUUAAACUUAUACAUAUAAAUAGUUUAUAAAUAGCGCUCGUUUACUCAGUUAACCGCCUCCUUUUAAGGCUUUGUUUCUAUGCGGUGGCUUCCGAAUGGCUGGCGGUUGCUAGGUGACGCCAGCUGUCGCGGGUUAGUGGAGGAUGUGCGGCCAACGCAUUCAAAGGUGCUCCCAAGGUGCUGCUGGAGAAGUUACUACUGGAGUUGGACUCAGCGACAAUGAAGGAAUGUGGGCCAGGGGAUUUGGAACAUGGGCCAGGUCUCCUCUUGCAAUGCACUUGAUGAAAGGGUAGCCAAGCAGCCUGCAGUCAAGCGUCCACCAGUGGUGUUCUCCAGUCAGGCACCAAGCAUUCCCUGUAAUGCUUCACAUUACAGGAAUUUCUUUAUAUCACUCCACUG